AGUGAACGCUGGCGGUAGGCCUAACACGUGCAAGUCGAACGGCAGCACAGUAAGAGCUUGCUCUUACGGGUGGCGAGUGGCGGACGGGUGAGGAAUACAUCGGAAUCUACUUUUUCGUGGGGGAUAACGUAGGGAAACUUACGCUAAUACCGCAUACGACCUACGGGUGAAAGCAGGGGAUCUUCGGACCUUGCGCGAUUGAAUGAGCCGAUGUCGGAUUAGCUAGUUGGCGGGGUAAAGGCCCACCAAGGCGACGAUCCGUAGCUGGUCUGAGAGGAUGAUCAGCCACACUGGAACUGAGACACGGUCCAGACUCCUACGGGAGGCAGCAGUGGGGAAUAUUGGACAAUGGGCGCAAGCCUGAUCCAGCCAUACCGCGUGGGUGAAGAAGGCCUUCGGGUUUUAAAGCCCUUUUGUUGGGAAAGAAAAGCAGCAGGUUAAUACCCCGCUGUUCUGACGGUACCCAAAGAAUAAGCACCGGCUAACUUCGUG
rnacentral:rRNA from 1 species